rnacentral:rRNA from 1 species
CCUACGGGAGGCAGCAGUGGGGAAUAUUGGGCAAUGGGCGCAAGCCUGACCCAGCAACGCCGCGUGAAGGAAGAAGGCUUUCGGGUUGUAAACUUCUUUUCUCAGGGACGAAGCAAGUGACGGUACCUCAGGAAUAAGCCACGGCUAACUACGUGCCAGCAGCCGCGGUCAUACGUAGGUGGCAAGCGUUAUCCGGAUUUACUGGGUGUAAAGGGCGUGUAGGCGGGAAAGAAAGUCAGAGGUGAAAACCAUGGGCUCAACCUGUGGCCUGCAUUUGAAACUGUUGUUCUUGAGUACUGGAGAGGCAGACGGAAUUCAUAGUGUAGCGGUGAAAUGCGUAGAUAUUAGGAGGAACACCAGUGGCGAAGGCGGUAUGCUGGACAGCAACUGACGCUGAGGCGCGAAAGCGUGGGGAGCAAACAGGAUUAGAUACCCUGGUAGUC